ensembl:lncRNA
GAGGCGGUGACGCUGUGGGGCUGAUCUGGAGUCUUUUGUUAGCCUCUCUGGUGACUGUUUAGACGUAAAUGGCUGAUCCCAGAGCGGGAUGCGGGCCAACAGGAGUCUCCCCUCGUGUCUGGGAGCAGAAAAAAGGUGAGCUCUCACUUGUAGCUUCAAUUCAUCGUGCUUUUGGCGAUCUCAUCAAUGUUGUGGCAAAAAUGAAUGAAAAUUCAAAUACAGUCAAUGUGCUGGCUCUUCACCUCUUUAGACAAUAAAUCGUGUCGUUUUAUUGCACUAUAACCCCCCUUUUCCCCUGUAUAUGAACACCAAAAACAAUCACGGGAAGCAUUGACCUUAGAUCAACUAAUGCUUUUUAUGUGGAAAUGAUUUUCAGUGGUAUGAUCCUGGAAUUGAUUCAAUUGUUUUUGUCAAUCAGCUGAUCAGAUCAGGUGACGGGAUUAGUGGCCUACAGAAAGUUUGGGUGAAGUGGUUUUCUUUUUGUGUAGCUGUAGCUGUUCUUCAUUCAAUGUUUAUUUACAUAUUUAUUGUAUUUAAUAUAUUUUAGAGUCGGUGCUCCCUAAGACACAUGGAAAUGCUGGGUGAAGAAGAUGGCACGUAAUGUUGUUUUAUAAAUAUAACCGUUAGAUUGCUGCUUCAGCUCCUGUGAGAUGAAGCCCACUAAAAAUGGCAGAAUAUCACCAAUAAACAUUAAUUCACGUGAUUUCGUUUCGUAAAGCCUCUGUUUCGCAGCUGUGUUUAUUUGGAUGACUCUUGAUGACCUUUUUCACGGACCCUCUUCUCUGUUGCUCCCCUCCGGACCGGAUAUGGGCGGGGCACAGCGCCCUCUGCUGGUGGGGGCGGGGCCUCGCAACGACCCGCGCUAUUGUGGCCGCAACAAAGGAGCACAGCAACUGAACUGAAACACGCAAUCGCACGCAUAGGAAGCACAAAGGAAAGCUCGCUUCCUUUUGUCACUGCUGCAAGUUCACAACGACAUUUAAACCGACUCACACUUAUUUGUGACUGUGCACGUGCUCAAGAGUAGUGUUUGCAGAGAGUAUAAGUACAGGCCGUGUAUGUUUCACGUCUCCUGAAGUGUGAAGGUGGUGGGAAACUGAAACCACUUAAGUCCUAAAAAAAAAAUGCAG